GGCUCCACCUCUUCUACUACUGCAUCAGUUGUUUCUGAUCCCGUUGAAGCACCUGAGGAAGAGGCAAGGGUGCACCAAACAGACACUGCUACGCCUUUGACUGCACAUCACAGAGGUGCUUCCCGUUCCACGUCGAGGGUCAGCAGCGCAGAGGACAUUGCACAAACCCAGCGAAAGAUUGAGGGACACCUUGCAGCACUAGUCGACAUAUUGGGCAGGAUUUUAGCCAUCCAAGAGUACAAAUAUGGUGUAAAGACGCUUCCUGCAGGAGCUGCCCAAGUAAACAACAGAAACAUAGAUGAAAAUGUUACAUUGUAAAUGUGUACUACUACUCACACAGCAAAGACUAACACAGUUUUAGUAGCGGAACAGGAGUAGGGCCGCCCCAGUGGGGGCAGUUAGGACAAGUAAUGGCCGGGAGUGUUGGGUAUUCCACUCUUGGCAGAUC